UACAGAGGUCCCAAGCGUUGUUCGGAUUCACUGGGCGUAAAGGGUGCGUAGGCGGUCGGGUAAGUCUGAUGUGAAAUCUCCGGGCUCAACCCGGAAAUGGCAUUGGAUACUAUUCGGCUCGAGGUCUGGAGGGGGGACUGGAAUACUUGGUGUAGCAGUGAAAUGCGUAGAUAUCAGGAGGAACACCUAUAGCGAAGGCAGCUCGCUGGGACGACACUGACGCUGAGACGCGAAAGCGUGGGGAGCGAACAGG
rnacentral:rRNA from 1 species